AGAGACUGAAGCACCUCCCAUCACUGGAUGCUCUGAACAGCUCAUGGGAGAAAAGUCUGGAUUAUCAGCAGGAAUCUGAUUAUCAGCUGUUUAAUUAGCAUAUUAAACUCUUAAUGUUUUCUUUACAAAGGUCAAAUGUAAUGUGUUGUAAAGAACUAUAACACACUCCAACAACGUUAAUGGAUAAUAAUCAAAGCACAGUUAAUAGCAAUGAUGAUGAUGAUGAUGAUGAUCACAAUGAUGAAGAGAAGCCUGAAAUUACUAAAUUUUGGUGCCUUUUUAAGGACACUGUUUAAGAGUGAUAAAAAUAAUUCAGCUGUACACUUAACUCUGUUGUAGGCUUCUGAAUUAUGCAGAAGAAUGAUUAAUGUAUUAUCAUCCUAAAAUAUUAAUAACUCUGAAUUAUAUCACACUGUACCAUUUUCUCUAAAAUAAUAAUUUUGCUUCCAAUACAGAAUGAUCACCUAUAUUCACAGUACAUUAAUACUUAAAUAUAGGUUCAAUGAAAAUUAUUAAUUUCAAGUUAUUCAGUAUUCUAAUGUACUACAAUUACUUUACACUGUUUUAGAAACUGCACUGAGGUCAGUGCAGAACCAAAAAUUAUUAUAGAUUAUUAGAAAAUAGUAUUUAUUCAAUUAAA